rnacentral:rRNA from 1 species
AAAGAUUAAGCCAUGCAUGUCUAAGUAUGAAUAAAUUUAUAUUGUGAAACUGCGAAUGGCUCAUUAAAUCAGUUAUGAUCUACGUGACAUAUUCUUUACUACUUGGAUAACCGUGGUAAUUCUAGAGCUAAUACAUGCAAAAAAACCCUGACUUACGAAAGGGUGCACUUAUUAGAUAAAGCCAACGCUGGGUAAAACCAGUUUCCCUUGGUGAUUCAUAAUAAUUUAGCGGAUCGCAUGGCCUUGUGCUAGCGACAGUCCACUCGAUUUUCUGCCCUAUCAUGGUUGAGAUUGUAAGAUAGAGGCUUACAAUGCCUA